rnacentral:rRNA from 1 species
CCCCGCACAAGCAGCGGAGCGUGUGGUUUAAUUCGAUGCUACACGAAGAACCUUACCAGGGUUUGACAUACAAGUAGUAGGGAAAGGAAACUGGACCGACCCUUCGGGAGCUUGUACAGGUGCUGCAUGGCUGUCGUCAGCUCGUGUCGUGAGAUGUUCGGUUAAGUCCGCUAACGAGCGCAACCCUCGCUGUGUGUUACAAGUGUCACACGGAACUGCCGGUCAUAAACCGGAGGAAGGUGGGAUGACGUCAAGUCAGCAUGGCCUUUAUGUCCAGGGCUACACACGUGCUACAAUGGGCGAUAUAGAGGGAAGCAAGGCCGCAAGGUAGAGCUAAUCCCUAAAGUCGUCCUCAGUUCGGAUUGCAGGCUGCAACUCGCCUGCAUGAAGUCGGAAUCGCUAGUAAUCGCGGAUCAGCUACGCCGCGGUGAAUACGUUCUCGGGCCCU